CACCACUACUGUCGAACAAUUUUGCAGCGCGUUAAUUUCUUGUUGAGUUAGCGGCAAAACGAUACGAGAACAAAAGAAACACGGAAUCACAGUGCCCCACUAUCCCUCUCGUUGAAUAGCGACGGUGAUUUAGUGCUGCGGCUAGCGCCGCAUUCAGCAGUGAGGUCCAAUAGAGAACAGAGCUGGGUCGAUUUACAUCUACAUAGUACAUACGCCUAACAGUGACUUCUUUCGCCAACGGAUUGGCGCAAAUCACCAACACAUGCCGAAUGGCGCCAGAUCGCGGCUCUUUGCCGUAGCGCGCCAACAUUUGAAUAUGUGUUUUGAUCCUGGUAACAUCAUAAACAUGAUAAAAAUAACAUAAACAUUGAAUCAACGUUGAGGAGUAUAUCGGCUAUUUAGUGCAAUGGCGCGAAAACGGAUGAUAUGCUUUAUUAGGGAUCCUGCCAUGAACUGAGAAGGCUUUUACCACUAUUAUGUGUUACAUUGCCGUUGUAGUAUAAAUUUUGCGGGAAUAUGUAGUCGGCUUUAGUGGAUCCUAUCAGUAGUACGUUAUUAUUACUAUUUGCGUGAAAUAGCGCCUAACGGCUUAACUACUAAACGCGAAACACAAAGCCUUUUUAUGAUAUUCUAACUGUUAUUGAGAAGAAAAAUAAUUAUUGCGGGAACGUCGUUUGUUCCUGUGAUUCAAGGGCGUUACCGCGUAACGUGUGACUAUUGACUCUCCAUGCUUCCAUGACGCCCGGUAUCCAGAUGGCUGGCUCCCAGCACGAAACGAAGUCUGUAUAUGCCCUCUGGAUUCGAGUCUAGACCACAACGUGUUUCUAAUAUUAGCAGGCCAAUACGUUACCCACUAUGGUAUCACGGAAGCCACACUGUUGACCGCAAAAACACGUGCUAUUUUCGGUUCGAGUCCGGACGUAGACGCACUUCGUUUCCUGGUCGGAACCAGUCAUCUUAAGUAAUGUCUAAUGGUUUGGAUGUAGGAUGUAGAACACAGCAAAGAAAAUUAGCUGUCAAUUGGUGCAGCAAAUAUUUGUUUAUAAUCAUAAGGCAAUUUUAGUUAUAAGCUGAGUUGCUUUGCCAACUACAUGUCUUAAACGGGAGUAAAAAAAGGACAUAUUUUCAAAAUAGAAAAUUUUUCAUGUAUUUCUUGAUGAUAUCUUCCGCUAUCUAGCUAAAGGGACAACGUCGGAUUCGAUUUAAAUAAUGAAACAUUUUUUAUUUGUUUUUUCAUCGAGUCGUCACUCAAGUGUCACUCAAGCUGCACCGCAAUGCAUACUCAGCCCGUUUAGCACAAGCAAACAUGAAUAUUUGAAAGGUCGAUUAUCUCCACUCUAUCCGGUGUAUUCAGCCGCAUAGCGAUCCCCUGCCGAUGUCGUUGCUCACCCUUGUCGGUUUUUUAGACCAAUUUUGUCCCCCACCCUUUUCCUCGCGCUCUCUCUUUUUCUUGAAUAUGCAUUUUUAAAAAGCGGUAUUAUAAUCGUUAGCUUCUUAUGCUUAUCAUUCAGUGUUGAUUAUGAUCUGUUGAAACAUCUAUUCUUCUUACGGGUUCUAUUGUCUCCGUUCUCGUCUCUUCAUUUCUGUCAUCAUGAUCAUCGCCAUCGUCACCGUUUGGUUUCACUUGCGUGUUUCUCAUUGAACUGUUGCUGUUGUUGUUGAUGCUGCUCUUGCUGUUACUAUUUUUCUAUUUCUCUAGAUCUUUAUAUGGCAUCUUUCUACCAUUGGGCAAUUGCAUAUAUAUUAUACUUCGAAUUGAUUAGUUACGUGUUUGUCUGUUCAAGUGUGUGUAUCGUAUCAAUGUUUGCUAUUCGCUACUUAUUAGCGCUUUCUUUUUACAGGAAAAAAAUAACGGCGAAAUGGCCGGACCCGGUUGACGCAAGAGACUCCACCGAUUGAUCCCCUCAUCACGUACACUAUUUACGGCCUUGUUAAGCCUUCUCACCCCCCAUACGCAGCUCAUUCGUCAUAAUAUUCGGCCUCGCACGUUUGAUUUGAAAUGCAGUAUCAAUUAUUGUUAUUUUUUUUAUUCUUACUUUCAUUUUACUGAGAAUUGUUAUUUUGUUGGCGUAAAGGUUAUCCUUUCAUUUCAUUAUUAGCGUCGUACUCUGACAUUAGUCAUUCAACUAAAUAAAGGUUGGAGGAUUCGUGCUGUCGUAAUCAUGAUUCGCUGCUGGGUGCUUCACUCAACCCCUUGUCGCGUAGCGUUUAUGCCUAGUACGUGUAGCAGCUGUUUGUCCUAAUGUCGCUUUGCCGUCAUCACCAUAUUGAGAUUGGGCGGUCUCCGCCAGCUUCAGCCAUAGCUUGCGGGUAGGCGCUCUCCUUGCGUCGUCUUGCCAGCAGCCAGCGCAAAACAAGUGCAAGACUUUUAGGUUAAGAUCCAGGAGUCUAAGUAAGUACUAUUUGUACAGGUUUGUGACGUCCUUCCAUGUGACCUAUCGCAUGCGACUUACCUGCAUUAAGCCACCUAUAAACAGUGCGACCGGGCAGCAGAUUCCAUAGCAUAGUGAAUAGGUAGAUUUACAGCGUCGAGAAAAGCGUAUAGGUCAAAUCAAUUACAUCUUUUACAAAAAUACGGAAAAAGAACAAUGGGUAUUUAUUAUAAAAAGGAACGGACGCUGCCAAAAAUUCUCGCUCCGUUAUUGAUGAGUCGAUAACCAAACGACAACCUCUAUCAGAUGACAAUGUCGAUGCAAUCUGUGGCGAUGCUUGACCACAGUUUGAUAGAUACUGUCGCGUACGCAUAGAUUGCCAAAUAUUUCUUCUUCGCGGUGCCUGUCGGAACAUAUUUAAGCAACAACAUUAUUCGGGAAAUUACAUAGUACGAGAAAAAUAUACUUGGGCGACUAACUCUACGAUGAUUACGGCGGCGAUCAGCGAAUUUGAAUAGUAUUUGACCGUCUUGUCGAUCUACCUGUGUUCAUUUUUUCCGUUUACAGGCUCAUACAACGUAUUUGGCAACUGUAGCUUCAUUAGUCUUAUCGUUUCCUUUUCAGGUCUUUUUUCAUGUAUACUCUUCGUUCUCGUUAUGAUUUGCUUUGAGUUUUUUUUACUUGAUCUGGCGAAAGUAUCUGACUCGCACGACCUGACGAGUUGUACUUGAUGCGGCGUCCGCAAGGGGUCGUCCUUGCCCAAAAUGGAUAAAGAUAUUGCACAUUAGAAUAAUGUCGCACUGCGCUCCAGCGCAAGAACCGAGGCCUCUUAUAACGAUAGUGUACGGCGGUGUGUCAUGUUUUAGUGCAAUUCCAGGACACUGCAUUGGUUCCAGCUCAAAGGUCCUUGUCAAGUGAUGGAGACAGUGGCAGUAGACAUGAUCAAUUAUAUCUAUCUAUGUUAUAUAUUAUUGUAUGUAUGAGAAAUUGCGGCGGGCGGAUUUAGUUAGUUAAUAA